GCGGCCUAUCAGCUUGUUGGUAAGGUAAUGGCUCACCAAGGCGACGACGGGUAGCCGGCCUGAGAGGGCGACCGGCCACACUGGGACUGAGACACGGCCCAGACUCCUACGGGAGGCAGCAGUGGGGAAUAUUGGGCAAUGGAGGGAACUCUGACCCAGCGACGCCGCGUGCGGGAUGAAGGCCUUCGGGUUGUAAACCGCUUUCAGCAAGGAAGAAGCGAAAGUGACGGUACUUGCAGAAGAAGCACCGGCUAACUAUGUGCCAGCAGCCGCGGUAAUACAUAGGGUGCAAGCGUUGUCCGGAAUUAUUGGGCGUAAAGAGCUCGUAGGUGGUUCGUCACGUCGGAUGUGAAAAUCUGGGGCUUAACCCCAGACCUGCAUUCGAUACGGGCGAGCUAGAGUGUGGUAGGGGAGACUGGAAUUCCU
rnacentral:rRNA from 1 species